UCCAUGAUUCAGCGGCGGACGGGUGAGUAAUGCCUAGGAAUCUGCCUGGUAGUGGGGGACAACGUUUCGAAAGGAACGCUAAUACCGCAUACGUCCUACGGGAGAAAGUGGGGGAUCUUCGGACCUCACGCUAUCAGAUGAGCCUAGGUCGGAUUAGCUAGUUGGUGAGGUAAAGGCUCACCAAGGCGACGAUCCGUAACUGGUCUGAGAGGAUGAUCAGUCACACUGGAACUGAGACACGGUCCAGACUCCUACGGGAGGCAGCAGUGGGGAAUAUUGGACAAUGGGCGAAAGCCUGAUCCAGCCAUGCCGCGUGUGUGAAGAAGGUCUUCGGAUUGUAAAGCACUUUAAGUUGGGAGGAAGGGCAGUAAGUUAAUACCUUGCUGUUUUGACGUUACCGACAGAAUAAGCACCGGCUAACUUCGUGCCAGCAGCCGCGGUAAUACGAAGGGUGCAAGCGUUAAUCGGAAUUACUGGGCGUAAAGCGCGCGUAGGUGGUUCGUUAAGUUGGAUGUGAAAGCCCCGGGCUCAACCUGGGAACUGCAUCCAAAACUGGCGAGCUAGAGUAUGGCAGAGGGUGGUGGAAUUUCCUGUGUAGC
rnacentral:rRNA from 1 species